rnacentral:rRNA from 1 species
CCUACGGGAGGCAGCAGUGGGGGAUAUUGCACAAUGGGGGAAACCCUGAUGCCGCGACGCCGCGUGGGUGAAGAAGCGCCUCGGCGCGUAAAGCCCUGUCAGCAGGGAAGAAAAUGACGGUACCUGAAGAAGAAGCCCCGGCUAACUACGUGCCAGCAGCCGCGGUAAUACGUAGGGGGCAAGCGUUAUCCGGAGUUACGGGGUGUAAAGGGGGCGCAGACGGCGAUGCAAGCCAGGAGUGAAAGCCCGGGGCCCAACCCCGGGACUGCUCUUGGAACUGCGUGGCUAGAGUGCAGGAGGGGCAGGCGGAAUUCCUGGUGUAGCGGUGAAAUGCGUAGAUAUCAGGAGGAACACCGGUGGCGAAGGCGGCCUGCUGGACUGCAACUGACGUUGAGGCCCGAAAGCGUGGGGAGCAAACAGGAUUAGAUACCCCUGUAGUC